AACAAGCAAUUGGGUUAAUAACACGCAAUUGGUGUAGCUUACACAUUGUUCUUCUUAUCAUUUCUUUUGGUUUAUUAUUUAUUUAAUAUCGAUUAUUUUGCUUUGUAGUAUGUGUUUAUUUUUUCUAAUGUUUGAAGAUAUAACUUUGUGUAUAUAUUUUUUAUGGUGUAUUUGAAGAUCUAAUAUUUUUAUGUAUAUAUAUAUUUUUUUGAAAAUUUUUUAUUGAAAAAUUGAACAAACAACAAGCAUGUUGCAGUCGAAUAAUAAAGCAGACGAAAAAAUCAAAGAAGCAUGACAGUCAAAAAACCCAAAGGUUUAUACUCUCUCUCUCUCUUUUCCUCUAUUUAAAUAAAAAAUUUUAAAAAAUAAUUCAAACUUUUCGUCUUUCAUUAAAAUAAUAUAAAAUAGACAAAAUAUUCUUUUCACCUUUUAAUAUAUUAUAGUCAGCAACAAAAAUUUAAUUAUUUACCUAAAAUUUAGAACUUUUUUAUCAUACGUUUUACGUAUAAUUUUUUUUUUAAAUUCUUUUUUCUCCAAAGACAAACGUUCACAAUUUUUUUGGUGGCAAAAAAUGAUUGUCGUAUGUCUGAGUUAGAAUACUUUGAUUUUUUCGGAUUCAUUAUAACUUUAUAGUUUUCUUUGACAAAUAGAUUCUUUAUUGAGGAUAGGUUUUUGUUUAGGUUUAAUCACAAAUGUGCUUGUGAUUUGAGGUAAGUUUUCUAAAAUUUUGGUAUGACUUUUAUAUUUAUAAAAAUAAAUUGUCAUAUACUUUGAUAGAUAGACGAUUGUUAAUUAAGAAGUUUUCUUUUGUGAUUUAAGUAUGUUCUUGAAGUUUAAAAUAAUAAAUUAUCAUGUAUUCUUGAUAGAUUAUCGCUAAUUGAGAAGUUUUCUGUGAUUUUUAUUUAUAAUAAUCUAUUAAUAUAAUAGAUAUAGAUAUAUCUCUAAAAGAUCAAGUUCAUACUUUAAUUGUAAAAUAUGACUUAAUUAAUGUAUCUGUUAGAGAAUUAUUUUCAUAAAAAAAAAACUAUUUAUUCACAUAAGUAGGUCAUGAGAACUUGCAAACCCAACAUCAUAUAUGUGUCAAAUCCAAUUCAAUAUCACCUUCUUGAAUCAAAGUAGAAGUGGAUUAAAUGAUAGGGUGCAAUAGCCACUUUUUAAUUGCUGAAUUUUUCUUUACUUUAUUAUAGUUUAGAAUGUGUUUUGAUAGGCGUUUGGUUAUAAAAGAAAAAAAAAUGGAGCUAAGUUGAAGUUGGAGUUGUAAUUAGAAUUAUAGUUUUAGUUGAGUUUGACUAUGAAUAUAUAUUUUGUGAGAGAAAUGAGAAUAAAAAAAAGUGAAUACAGGUUGAGAUUUGUUUCACUUUUUCAAAGUUGUAUUUGGAGUUUGUACAGCCAAACAUCAUUUCUUAAAUAAAGUGAAAAAUAUUUUUGAAAAGAAUUGCUUUCUCAUGGCCAAACUUAACCUAAGUGUAUUAAUACGAACAUAAUUUUAACUUUUGAUAUUAAUGAAAAAUUUUGUUAACUACAUUUGAUUUUGUUCCUUAAUUAUUAGUAUGAUAGUGGGUUAUCAUGUUCCUCUUUAAACACACUUUUUAGGUUAAAAAAUUUACGUUAAUUUUGGUAAAAUUUAAAAUUGUUGAUUUCUCCCUAAAAGAUAGUUUUUCUCUUUACUGAUUAUCAUAUUUUAUCCAUCAAUAUGAAGAUGCGAAGAAAAUAAUACGAGAUGCUAUACUAUUUGAAAUACAAUAUUAUAUAUAUUAUUUAAAUAGACAUAUGUUUGUUUCAGCGUCAGUUGAUACUUUUAAUAUAUAGUUUUAUUGCUUGAUGCAAGACACACAUGCAACGCACGUACACUAACCUAGUUCAAAAAAAGAGUAAGAAGGAGUUGAAGCAUAGUCAAGUAUGUAGGCUGAAGGUUAAAAGUAAACACAAACUAUUAAAAAAAAAUGUAAUGUUCUACUAUUAAAACUGAAAAUCAUAUUCUGAAUUAAAUUCAACCAAUAAUAACAACAAAUGAAAUGUAAUUCUUAAGUGAGGCUUAGAAGAAUAGAGUAUACGUUGACCUUACUCCUAUCUUGAAAAGGAGAAACAGAAUAAUGUCAAAUUCUUUUAAGUACCAGCAGUCCAAGAAAGCAGCUAAAAUACACAAUGUACAAGGACUUUUCGAUUUUUUUAGGAUACAAGCACAAAAAAUAAGUUCAACUAAUCCAAUAGAAAAGAACGACAAAAGCAAACUCUGGAACAAAAAUAAACAAACAAUAACCAUUUUAGAUAAAUUCGAGACUGUCUUUCAUACAUCCAUAACAAUCAAGGAAAAGAUAUUUAGUUAAGUACAUAACGCAUUUCAAGAGAUAAAUUGGACAAUUACAUAACAUAACUAAUCUUCUCAAGACUAAAAAGAAAAAAGAAGAAACAUUGACAAACAAAAUUAAGAAUUACCUGUAAAAUAUUUACUUGUUUUUCGUUUAUUUAAGUACAAAUGUCACAAAAGAAUCCAUCGAACAUAUCAUCUAUGAGAACUCCUUCAAUUAGGACAAUUCAAAUCUCAUCAUUUUAUAGUAAAUCAACAAAUCAACAUGUUUGAUAAUGAUAUAUGAUCAUCCAAAAGUAUAGAACAAAACAAAAAUAUUAAUCAAUUAAAUUCAAAACUCUCAAAUCUUUUUAAUUCAAAAACAAAGAAAAUAAUUAAAACUCCUGAACUCUUGAACACGUACUCGAUUCUCUGUAACUUCGAUUUCCACCACGCAUUCAUAACAACCUAGGAAAAGAUAUCUAGCUAAGCGCAUAAAACAUGUCAAAAUAUCAAAAUAUAAUCUUAUAUUUCGAAUUUAACAAAUAAGUAUAAUUACAAAUUCAACUAUAAUACUAACAAAUAAUAUGCCAAAAUAUAGUAAAUUAACAUAAUCAAAGCUAAUCAAAAUUAAGUAACAAUUAAAAAAGAAAGAAAAAGAGAUAAAUCUUUUAUAUUUUGGCUACUUCAUUCGGUAUCAACAUGC
rnacentral:lncRNA from 1 species